CCCCAUCCUGAAUCGUGACUGAUAUCCCACAGCGAGUACUACCCUCCUGCAGCAACCCCUUACAGUUUCCCAGGGGAGUGUGGCCCCCCUUUCCCACACCGCAUCAAAUUUUUCAGUUUCACUCAUUUCUCAGUUUAUGGGUUAUGGGUAUGAGCCUGUGUAAAAUACACAUUUUUUUUUUUGCAAACUCCAGCCUGGCUCUUCCCUGCUUCUCAUUGAUGAAGGGCUUCUUUCUUGCUUUAUGGGUCUUCACCGCUGCUUCUAGGAGCCUGUCCCACCAGUACACUUCACACUUAAUGUUUUCCAUUCCUUUUGAAGGUCACUUGAGGUCAUCCUCCGAUUUGUUAGACACUGAGGGAUAAGUUGAUGGUCAUCUCUGGCAUUAGAAGGUUGCUUCUGCCCUCUACCUGGCUGGUUUUUGAUUUUUCGCAGUGUCUCCUGCUUCUUCCCCCUGUUCUUGUGUACUGCGGUCUUAGAAACUCACGAGCAUGGAAGCAGCCUGCCUCACAGUGUAGCCUUCUGCCAGCAGAACCAGGAUUAAACCAGAAUUUAACAAUGCAGAUUUUUAAAAAGUAUAUAGAGUGGUCUCUUAAUUUUUUACAGAGCUGUGUAUUGUUGCUGUGUAUUACAGAGCUUGCGUUCAUAGUGGGGUGCCGCAGGGUUCGAUUUUAGGACCAUUAUUGUUCCUAAUUUACAUAAAUGAUAUGGAUACCGAUAUAUACAGUAAAGUGGUGAAAUUUGCAGAUGACACCAAGGUGGGUGGUGUAGCAGAUACUGAAUUAGCGGCUCAGCAGCUACAGCGGGAUCUUGAUUUAAUUAAUGAGUGGGCCGAUACCUGGCAGAUGAAAUUUAACGUCGAUAAAUGUAAGGUACUCCAUCUAGGGAGCAGAAAUAUAAAGUACAGGUAUUUCAUGGGUGUCACUGAAAUAAAGGUAGCUGAUCAUGAGAAAGACCUUGGUGUGUAUGUUGAUGCUUCCAUGUCCCAUUCUCGCCAGUGUGGGGAAGCAAUAAAAAAGGCCAAUAGGAUGUUGGGGUAUAUCUCCAGGUGUGUGGAGUUUAAGUCCAGGGAGGUAAUGCUAAGAUUAUACAAUUCCUUGGUGAGACCUCACCUAGAAUAUUGUGUGCAGGUUUGGUCACCAUAUCUUAAAAAGGACAUUGUGGCCUUAGAAAAGGUGCAGCGUAGGGCCACAAAAAUGAUUCCUGGUCUUAGAGGAAUGUCAUACGAGGAACGGUUACUUGAGCUAAAUCUGUUCAGUCUCAAGCAAAGGAGACUGAGGGGGGACAUGAUCCAGGUAUAUAAGAUUCUAGCAGGUUUGGAUGCUGUUCAACCAAAUAGUUUCUUCAGCAUUAGUUUAAAUACACGAACUCGUGGCCAUAGGUGGAAAUUAGCGGGAGAACAUUUCAAGCUGGAUUUAAGGAAGCACUUCUUUACACAGCGUGUAGUCAGAGUAUGGAAUAGCCUUCCUGAUAAUGUAGUGCAAGCUGAAUCCUUGGGUUCCUUUAAAUCAGAGCUGGAUGAGAUUUUAACGACUCUGAGCUAUUAGUUUAGUUCUCCCCAAGCGAGCUUGAUGGGCCGAAUAGCCUCCUCUCGUUUGUAUAGUUCUUAUGUUCUUAUGUUUAUAUGUAUCUAUUUUAUGUUUUGGCUGCAUGUUUGAACCUGAGACCAGUUUUCAAAUGGAGUCUGUUUCAGAAUACUACAUUCACACCCCCAAAACCUUCAUAUCCCAAAUACUGCAUCAUGAAAGGUGAAAAUUGGUAGGUUUAUGCUGGUGAAAUAAUGAAAAUAGAUGCUGCUGCUUUUAAAUCAUUCACAAGGUUGUUUAUUGAGAUGGUUUAUUGAAAGGCAUCUAACAAUUUCAAACACAUAUGGAGAUAUAAUAGACAUUCGCCUCAGAAUUAUAUUUUAUGUAAUUUUAUCUUUAAAGUGACCUUAUUAAAUUUGUUUCCCGAAGUAAUAAUUUCAUCCCACACCCUGAGUGCUUUUGCACGCUGGUUAUAUGUGCUGUUAGUGUGCUAACAGCAUUUUCUACCCAGGGAGUCUGAUCGAAACCCAAAAUCAAGCUGCUGCUGUGAGCUCCUGCUGAGCACCCUGCUCGGAGGCAUGUACACUCGACGGACGCUACGGAGUGUUCCAGUGACCGCCCACUAGUACAUAUCUGCUAGACUCGACACUCGCCGUACCGUACACCAGACAAAGCAUAACACAGUGAGGUGAACAGUGAUUUCUAUCAUCUAUAUUCUUGUCCUCAGUAGGCGUUAUGAUGCUGACGUGUCACUGAACGUGUCAGCCAAUGUAGUCCAUAUCUGGUUUGAUAUCUUACUCCUGGGGAUACCUGCAUUUCUAGGGACACAUUGAACUGCUUAUAGACUUUUCCCAGUUUAGACCGUAAACCCGAACUGGACUGUGCAUGAGCAGAUAAGUAUCAUUUCCGCUCACUACUGCUUCACGGCAGCUGGGCGAUUUCACAAAUUGAUUAAUUGCAGUUUUUUUUUCUUAACAAAGGUUGUACUUAGCACUUAUUUGAAUUAUUGUGUAUAUAUGUGUUUUUAGGGGGCGGCAUGGUGGUGCAGUGGUUAGCACUGUUGCCUCACACCUCUGGGACCUGGGUUCGGGUCUCCACCUGGGUCACAUGCGUGCAGAGUUUGCAUGUUCUCCCCAUGUCGUCGUGGGGUUUCCUCUGGGGACUCUGGUUUCCCCCCACAGUCCAAAAACAUGCUGAGGCUAAUUGGAGUUACUAAUUUGCCCAUAGGUGUGCAUGUGAGAGUGUGUGAGUGUGCCCUGUGAUGGGCUGACCCCCCAUCCUGGGUUGUUCCCUGCCUCGUGUCUAUUGCUUCCGGGAUAGGCUCCGGACCCCCCGUGACCCAGUAGGAUAAGCGGUUUGGAGGAUGGAUGGAUAUGUGUUUUUAAAUUACAAAGAUUAUUUUAUUUAAAGCCUCAUGCCCAUUGCUUCUGGGAUAGGCUCCGGACCCCCCGCCACCCAGUAGGAUAAGCGGUUUGGAAAAUAAAUGGAUGGAUGGAUGGAUUUUAUUUAAAAAUAGUAUUUAGCACGAUUUGGCUUAUUACAGUUUAAUAAUAUUUUGUAAUUAUGACAUGUUAUAAUUGUAUUUUUAAAUAAUUUGUACUUAAAAGUCUGUGGUACAUUGGGCGGAGCUUAAAUUUGGACGUUAUUGUUAUUAUGAAUUAUGACGUCAUAAGAGGGAUGGGGAACGUAUCCCUUAUUCUCAUUGGUCGAGUGUUUUCUCCAUAUACCUUACAUUGCCGAUAGGGGGCCAUAUGGUUUGGGUGAUAAGGGUUGCUGUUAAACUUUAAUAGAAUAAAAAUACAUUACAUGUAUUUAUUUGUGUUAUUUUUAAUUGCGUUUUUAUGGAAUAAUAAAACAUAUGGCAGGAUGAAUGCAAGCUAGCGCAUACACAUCCAGCGGGGCCCGUCCGGCCACAGGCACGGGCUGUUAGGAGUAGGCACAAGCGCCACGGCGUAUUUUAAAAGAAUGUGGGGAUCUGAACAGGCUGGUAGGAGUAGUUGCACGGCACUGGUAAUUACACUAUAUUGGCAACCACUUGAGCCAGGUCAUAUGACCUACCAGGAAGUUAUAAAAGGCUGCCAAGAUGGAAUCUCAUUCUCUUGCUGCUGUGUUUUACAACUGGACAUGGGGUGGGUUCUUCUUCCCUGUGGGUAAGGAAAGGAGGAGAGGGUUUGUUUGAGAACUUGAAUGUUUAAUUUUAAUUUUACCAGGGUGACUGCUAGCAGCAUGUAACUCUUCAUGGAGGAUGCGAGGUUUGGAAUUUUAUCAUUUGACGUGAUCCCCUACGAGCUGCUGGGCUACAGACACUGAGGCUCUGGGGCCUCCUGAGCUGAGAGCUGCGCGUGCCGAUCUGACCUUACUAUCUGGAGGAUAGUCAGCUGCCCCCAACCCUGCCAGCAGCCUGUUUUAUUUGACUAAUUGAUUUUACAUAUUUGUAAUAAAGUGGAUUGGGUUUUAUUUUCA